rnacentral:lncRNA from 1 species
CCUGGCCAUUAUAGGGUUUAAUUCUUCCUUAUUUCACCUGUCCACACAGUGAGCAGCUGUCAUAACCCAGCAGCAACACUGUUGGAGUUCCAUCUGGGGUGGAUGUGCACUUUGCUGACGGCAAUGAUCUGCUCUGUGCCUCCGUUUUUGUAGAGGUCAUGCUCCCCAAGGACAACACGGUAGGUCAUGGGUCUGUCCACACAGUGAGCAGCUGUCAUAACCCAGCCUCUCUUAAUCAGGGUUCCUCCGCAUGUGUGAUAAUAGUUGCUGCCAGAUCUGUACUGAAGAGAGAUCUGCCAGGGCCAAGAGUUGGGAGAGGCCACUUCACCUCCGACAACCCUCUCAAGGCUAUCCUCGAUGUACCUGGGCUGUGGUCCCAGGUCAGCCAGAACUUGUUAAAAAAGAAAGGAAAACAAAGCUGCAUGAGUUUUAUGUUCCUGCAUCUCCUGUGGUGUUACACAGCAGUGUGUACAGUGUGGUUUUCUUACCCAGGGCUGCAAGGCUUGUCAACACCAGAAACCUCAGCAUGUCUGCACAAUGUCAGAAUGUGUCUGCGAGGAAUCAGACCUUUCCCCCUGCUUUUAUACCUCUCUACAGUGGAAAAUUGAGGCUGUUGUGUCAAGCAUGGGAAACACACCUGUGAUCCGUCUCACAAUGUGUUAUCAGUUGGUCAGCACACACCUCCUACUUUCAAUGUUUAAAAAUGCUGCACAAGGAGCAAAACAAUUAUAACAUAUUUGAUAAAAUCUGUCACAGUUUUCCUUGCUUUGUAUUUGUGGAUGAAAACAUCUUCUUUUCUGGUAAUUUAGGUGGAUAUGUUGAAGAAAGCCUGGGUAAGAUGUACAGGUAGUUUCUUUUCAUACAAAUACUGUGAAUUUUUUCUUUGAGUAAACAUGUUUUUUUUUCCUUGCCAAAAUUCUCCACCUUUAAGUCUUGAGAGAUUUUUGCUUGUUGUGUCUCUCUAACAAAUGGAAAUAAAUACAUACCAAAGAAGUGGCUACCAAUUGAUACAACCAGUCCACUGGAGAUAAGGCACAGAUCCAGUUUAAACCAGUAGCAUGUGGACUGGUUGCUCUCGCAGAAGGACACGUGUGUGUGAUGUGUGUGUUAAGGAAUACAGUCAAUAAACCAGUCUAAAUCAACACAGUUUAAAGAAAAGGUGCACUGCCUGAAGUCUCAAGUUCAAUGAGGGUAAAUUAAUAGUGCCUUAAAAUGGAUCUUUUGAUUUCGUCGCUGUUUAUGAUGAUUGGUUUUAAUUAAA